rnacentral:rRNA from 1 species
GAUGAACGCUGGCGGCGUGCCUAAUACAUGCAAGUCGAGCGAACAGACGAGGAGCUUGCUCCUCUGAUGUUAACGGCGGACGGGUGAGUAACACGUGGAUAACCUACCUAUAAGACUGGGAUAAGUUCGGGAAACCUGAGCUAAUACCGGAUAACAUGUUGAACCGCAUGGUUCAACAGUGAAAGACGGUCUUGCUGUCACUUAUAGAUGGAUCCGCGCCGCAUUAGCUAGUUGGUAAGGUAACGGCUUACCAAGGCAACGAUGCGUAGCCGACCUGAGAGGGUGAUCGGCCACCCUGGAACUGAGACACGGUCCAGACUCCGACGGGAGGCAGCAGUAGGGAAUCUUCCGCAAUGGGCGAAAGCCUGACGGAGCAACGCCGCGUGAGUGAAGAAGGUCUUCGGAUCGUAAAACUCUGUUAUUAGGGAAGAACAAAUGUGUAAGUAACUAUGCACGUCUUGACGGUACCUAAUCAGAAAGCCACGGCUAACUACGUG